UACGUAGGGUGCAAGCGUUUAUCCGGAAUUAUUGGGCGUAAAGAGCUCGUAGGCGGUUUGUCGCGUCUGCUGUGAAAACUGGGGGCUCAACCCCCAGCCUGCAGUGGGUACGGGCAGACUAGAGUGCGGUAGGGGAGAUUGGAAUUCCUGGUGUAGCGGUGAAAUGCGCAGAUAUCAGGAGGAACACCGGUGGCGAAGGCGGGUCUCUGGGCCGAUGACUGACGCUGGAGGAGCGAAAGCGUGGGGAGCGAACAGG
rnacentral:rRNA from 1 species